CGAAAAGCGAAUAGAAACGAAUACGUCCGCCCGCGCGCGCACGACGGUCCACGAACGAAUAAUCGCGAUGUGUUGUAACGCGAUAAGAAAGAAAAAUGAGGAAAGAAACAAUUAUUCAUUCCCGCAUCGCUUUUGCAAACAACUUUAAUAACAAUCAUGGAUUAGAUACUUACACGUAAUACCCGCAUUUUCUUGAACUAUAGAGAUGAUUUCUCUCGUUGCUUUUUACAAAUAUUUUCGUAAGUCGGAUGAAUAAAACAGGUAACAAAGAUAGGAAAUGAAGAAAAGUGAAUGUGCGGGCAAAGAACUUAUUAUAAGAUUCGUUUCAUAAAAAGGUGAUAAAAUGAAUAUUGUUAUUAAUAUAAAUGGAAGAUAUAUAAAUAUUUAUAUUUCAAUAAAAAUAUUAGAACUAUUUAAACACUAGUUUGUAGUUAUUGAUUUAUCAGUUUUAAUCUUCUUAUUAUAUUAGCAAAAUUACAUUUUCUCUUUUUUCUAUUGAAAAAUAU